UCCUGUCGCAUCUGCCUUUGAC
rnacentral:misc_RNA from 1 species